rnacentral:rRNA from 1 species
UACGUAGGGUGCAAGCGUUGUUCGGAAUCAUUGGGCGUAAAGCGCGUGUAGGCGGUUUGUUAAGUCGGGUGUGAAAUCCCUUGGCUCAACCAAGGAAGUGCAUCCGAAACUAACUGGCUAGAAGACGGUAGAGGAAGGUGGAAUUCCAAGUGUAGAGGUGAAAUUCGUAGAUAUUUGGAGGAAUACCUGUGGCGAAGGCGGCCUUCUGGACCGAUCUUGACGCUGAGACGCGAAAGCGUGGGGAGCAAACAGG